rnacentral:rRNA from 1 species
CGCGGCCUAUCAGCUUGUUGGUGGGGUAAUGGCCUACCAAGGCGACGACGGGUAGCCGGCCUGAGAGGGCGACCGGCCACACUGGGACUGAGACACGGCCCAGACUCCUACGGGAGGCAGCAGUGGGGAAUAUUGCGCAAUGGGCGAAAGCCUGACGCAGCGACGCCGCGUGCGGGAUGAAGGCCUUCGGGUUGUAAACCGCUUUCAGCAGGGACGAAGCGAAAGUGACGGUACCUGCAGAAGAAGCACCGGCUAACUACGUGCCAGCAGCCGCGGUAAUACGUAGGGUGCAAGCGUUGUCCGGAUUUAUUGGGCGUAAAGAGCUCGUAGGCGGUCUGCCACGUCGGAUGUGAAAACCCAGGGCUCAACCCUGGGCCUGCAUUCGAUACGGGCAGACUAGAGUAUGGCAGGGGAGACUGGAAUUCCUGGUGUAGCGGUGAAAUGCGCAGAUAUCAGGAGGAACACCGGUGGCGAAGGCGGGUCUCUGGGCCAAAACUGACGCUGAGGAGCGAAAGCGUGGGGAGCGAACAGGAUUAGAUACCCUGGUAGUCCACGCCGUAAACGUUGGGCGCUAGGUGUAGGGGACCUUCCACGUCCUCUGUGCCGCAGCUAACGCAUUAAGCGCCCCGCCUGGGGA